rnacentral:lncRNA from 1 species
UUCAAGUUCAACAACUUAUGCAAUGUUAAGGUAAUAAUUUUUGUACAUAGAUGGCUUCUGCUACUGGAGGAAGUGGCGAUGGUGGGGGCGAUCGUGGUUCCUAUUUCGGCAAGGGGAAAAUCAUAGUUGGCCCUCAGCAUAAGCCGAAGAAAAAGAGCGCGCUGAAAAAAGCAAUGCUUCGUUAUUUGCAGCAACGUCAUGAAGAAGCUGUUGCCGCGGGUCAGGAACCUCCUUUUGGUGGUCGUUAUGCUCCACCCUCAGUCCCGGGUGUUUCACGUCCACUUAGUACUACCGUUUCA